ACUCGCCACACUCUUCCCACAACACGAAGACGAACAACUCAAAUGGCACGUUUGUACUGCAUUCUGGUGGCGGUGCUGGUGGUGGUGUUGCAGCUGUACAUGGUGGCUGGCCAUCCGUGGGGCAAAGGCCACGGCAGCGGCGCUGUCAUCACGAAGCUGUACCACGUGGGCGAUACCUCCAGCUAUGAGCGUGAUGACAGCUACGAAAGACAUGGUUACGGCGGAGGCUUCAAGCACCACGUCGUGCACUGGUAAUGGCGCCCUGUGACCUCUUCUGGCAGUGAUCCCCCCCGGACGCGGACCAUGGACACCAACACUACCACGAUCGAAAUUAAUUGCUUCGCUUCAGAAUAAAGAAUAUGGCAAACAG